UUGAGCAGCGACGCCCGUCCGUGCAUGCCCCAUCAGUCGUCGGCCCGAGUGCGACUAUGCCUCGGCCGCACGCGGGUUUCCUGUGUUGCAUACCUACUAUAAUGGAAUUCGGUUGUCCCAACGUUUGUACGUUCGCCUCGCGCUGCACCUUCGGAGUGCGGCGUAGGGUGGACCGCUAAGCAGCGCCCGCGUUCCGAGUCGCUCACGUUCCGUGAUGCUGUCUCGGCCCGCGGACCGUUGCUUGGGCUCUCGGAAGCAGAAUAUUCGGAGGGUAGGGUUGUCUUGUCGACCCUUGUUUGCCCUAAAUAAAUUUCGUUGCCGAACGACUGUCGGCGUUCCGUCGAGGCGUUGGAUCCCCGGAUCAAUCGUCCUCUCGGGAUGCCGGCGUCAGUGAGGAAUGCUA
rnacentral:misc_RNA from 1 species